AACGAACGCUGGCGGCAGGCUUAACACAUGCAAGUCGAACGCCCCGCAAGGGGAGUGGCAGACGGGUGAGUAACGCGUGGGAAUCUACCAAGUUCUACGGAACAACUGAGGAAAACUUAAGCUAAUACCGUAUAUGCCCUACGGGGGAAAGAUUAAUCGGAACUGGAUGAGCCCGCGUUGGAUUAGCUAGUUGGUGCGGUAACGGCUCACCAAGGCGACGAUCCAUAGCUGGUCUGAGAGGAUGAUCAGCCACGCUGGGGCUGAGACACGGCCCAAACUACUACGGGAGGCAGCAGUGGGGAAUAUUGGACAAUGGGCGCAAGCCUGAUCCAGCCAUGCCUCGUGAGUGAUGAAGGCCUUAGGGUUGUAAAGCUCUUUCAGUGGGGACGAUAAUGACGGUACCCACAGAAGAAGCCCCGGCUAACUUCGUGCCAGCCGCCGCAGUAACAC
rnacentral:rRNA from 1 species